UCAGUGUUCGGUCGGAACAGAAAUCACACCAGUGUUUGCAGUUCUAUGGAUGCUUCCAUGGGCUCAAUCCUGACCGUUCACAACAGCUUCAGAGAAGGCUCCUCGGAGAAUAAAAACCUGGUCCCAGCGGUAUGGGGUAGGAGAGGUUUUCCACAAUCUGGAGAGCCUUAGAUAGAUUCAAACCCAGGGAUGGGCAUUGGCUUCCAGCCCCACGCCCCACCCCUUUGGACAGUCACUGAGUCAUGAGAAGGAGAUUGCUGUUGAUUCCUUAAGAAGCUGCCUUGUCUCCACUUGAGGAGGGGCGAGGGCUCUGGCCACGUGGAGCAGGGGAGUGGCUCAGUUCAGAGGCACAGGGCACGGCCUAACCCACCCAGCCAGUGGCAGUUCAGGACCACACCCCCUUUCAUGAUCUGUAAGUAAAGGGAAGCUGAAAAGGAACUGCGCAUGAGGAAAAAACCAGAGCCUUGACUCCCAGCUUCCUACAGGCCAUCUCUGUUUUCCGACUGGGGAGCCUGGUGUCCUGCCUAAGUUUCCUGGGGAUCAGCCUCUCACCUGUAAAAUGGGAAUAACUAAGUUUACCUUGCUGGAACCUAAGGAGUAUACAACGUAAAAGUACCUAGGACGGUGCAGGUCGCGGAGUAGGCACCUCCCAAACGUUAUUAUGUCCUCUCUUCCAACUUAUCCACUAGGGAGGAAGCCAUGCGCUGGAACUAGGCUGAGCUGGCCAGGUAGGGUGGAGGCUUUUCCCUCCGGGAGCCGCCUCACCAUCCACCCUCUGCUCCAGCCCCGACACUCACGCUGCCCAUUUGCUGCCUACGCUGCUGCAGCCCUAUUAGGAGCAUUAGCCAGCCCGGAGGCUCCGGUUACAGACGUCUGAAUGACAAAGUGCCUCCAUUACCGGCGCGGCCCGCCAGCAGACUCGCCGGGAUGCGCUCUGGUUUCAACACUCUCUCAGCGGCGCAGGAAGAGGCUGGACCGCUGAACUGGCUCAUACCGAACAAUCUGGGGCAGAGGUGGAAAGUAGAGCCCCGGGGGCUCAGGUCCGAAGGUUCUGUUCCAGGUCCACCUUGCUGAGGCCUCCUUGCGCGCCUUUUCUAAACUCAGGGAUAUCCUCCUGUCCAGGUCCAGAGGCCACGCCCUCAUCUCUCCAGGAUCGGGACCACACAGCGCCCAAGGCAUCUCUAACCAGGGACGUUAGUUAACAAACACCCUUGCAGCCACUCCCAAAUCCCCGGAGGAAGCCUCAGGUACCGACAGCUCCAAGGAACCGGGUUUGGGCUUUGAGGAUGAAACCGACGCUUGAAGAAGUUCUCCAUCCUCUGGAUUCCACCUCUGCCUACCCCUUAGGAUGGUGUCACCCUGCUGUGAAGUUGACCCCCACCCCCACCCCAAGCUGCACCCUUGAGUAGAGAGACCACAGAGCUGGAAUGAGGUGAGGGUCCAUCCAGCCACAGGACUCUGGCCCAACUUGCUUGUGAGAUCUUGGCCAACUUGUUUCAACUCAAAAGUCUCUGCCUCCCUUAUCAGUAAGAUGGAGCUUUGGGGGCACGGUGCUCAGAUGAAGAAAACGGUGGUGGGAAGAGUGAAGAUGCCACUUUCAUUGCCAACCUUUCUUAAGAUCUGAUCAGAAAUACCCAGAGUACUCGGGUUCUUAGCAAGACCUGAUGACCGAGCUGGAGUUGGUGUCUCUGAACAACAAUACGACCGAAUCCGAGGCAUCCAAGCGGCCACUGUCUCAGCCUAACCAGGUAUGGAGACUAAUGCUGUCUCCCCGCCUGAGCUCUGCUCUGUUGGAACCACAUAGAACCCACGCUCACCAGCUUCUCCUACCUGUGAGCCUGACACAAGGUCUGCCCCGGGAGCACGGCUUGAAUGAAGCUCUCUUCCUUUAACACAAUGGUUGGGUUGCAUCGGGCAAAGGCUUCCGGGCAGAUCACUUUUCCUGUGAAGAUCUGGGCCAUACCCAUACAUGGGCCAAGGAGCCACAAGACUUGGUCAGUUCAUUCAGGCACAGGUUUAAACUCAGUUUGUAGCCAAGAUGACAUUGAACUCCUGAUCUCCCCCCUAUACACUGUUAUGGCCCACAAGCUGGGAUUACAGGUGUGUGUCACAAUGGCCUGUUGGAUUCAGUCUUCUCUGGCUGCCCUGUGUCCAAGGCCAGGCAAGAUGGUAAAGGACAAUGAAGUCGAGCUAUUCCACAGCUAGAACAUCAUGGAGUCAGUAUGUAGGAAAAGACAAUGAACCAUCAGAGGCCCAAGAGCCAGUCUGUGGACGUAUGUGUAGUGACAAGCCCAUCCCUUCCUUGCUCUGAGCCUCAGUGUCCUCAUCCGUAAUGAAAGGCAUAGGAUCAGAGCCUCACAGAAUGAGUAGUCAAGGAAACAGUGUGGGCGAAUGUGCUUUCAAAGUCAGGGGGGCCGGAAAGAUGUCAAUUAGUCUCGUAUUUGAUGCCGCUAUUGAUGGUGGCUUCUAGCGAGAAACCGGAUGAGGGGUAAGAUGACAUUUCAACACUGGGGACUGGGCCCAGGGUCCUUCCUGCUGCAGAUAAGAGCCAGAGCUGUGACGGGCCUCUGGCUUCAGGGAAUUUCCCACGGGAAUUAGUGGAGGAGGAGACGUCCCAGGCCCAAGCUUAUCUUCACUCCGCUUUGCUCGGCCUGUGAUAGUCUGGGAAGUGGGGUCAAGUGCAAUUGUCUGGGUUGGUUUCCAGCAGGGGAGGGCAAAGGGCACUGAUGUAGAGUCUGGACAAAGUCAUGUCUGCUGUGCCUGUUGCCUACAGAGAGAAGACUCCCUCUGAUGGCCAGGAAAGAGCUUGGUGUAGAAGGAUUGCUUCCCAGCCCCUUCCAUUAGGAGGUGGGCUCUGUUCAGAUCCACGGAUCCCAAGAAGGGGGCGAAGGGAGGGGGCCUUUGAGGACAGAAAACCAGAGGCACCAGAUCUUCCCGGAGAGUCUCUCUCUCUGCAUGUAGCAACCGACCACCUUCCGGAGAAGGGGAGAAGGCAGCCUGGCUCAGAAGAGUCACGGGUCUCUUAUUCUGCGGAGAGACACCGUCUCCAGCUCCUUGGGAGCACCUAGAUGGUCCAGACAGUGGAGAGGAACUUCCUGCUGCUGCCCCCUCUACUGGGCAGGGCCACAGCUAUAGCCUCGGAGAUCUUCUCAUCUUAGGGGUUUCCCUCCACCAAACAACAGUAUAUCCCUGGGAUGGGGACAUGGUGUUCAGUUAUACAUUGUAAGCUGGUAGACAGAUUUUGGGGAAGGGAAGAGCCAGCCCAGAGGUACAGCUGGGAAACUGAGGCCCAGUGGUACCCAUGGCAUGUUCCAAAUCUUUCAGUGGGCUGGUUACAGAGAAGGGAGAGGUUUUAGCAGUCUGUGAGGAGCCCUUGCCCAGUUCCCGGUGUGACCUGUGUCACGGCUGCGCCCCUCCAGGCCUACUUUUCUACUUGUGACAAGCAGAAGACCUUCCCACACUGUCUUUGCUCCUGCACCAUGAAGCCAGGUUCUUGUCCAGUCUGCUAGGUGCCCCGGAAGUGGGGGGGAGGGCCCCCUGGAGGAGCCAGCAGAUGAGGAAGUGCUGAGUUGACACUCAGAGCCCAGCCACCUGGCUGAGCAAGUGUAUUCAUGCCUAGCCCUCCCCUCCAGACCUAGGCUCAGCUCCGAAAGGCCUUCCCAGCCCAUCCCCGCCCGGGGCUCCCCCACUCAGCUGGAAACUCUUAAGCAGAAAGGUCGUCAAGAUGAUUAAAUGCGAACAGAUUUUCAGCUCUUUUUCCACUUUAAUUAAAAAUGUGCUCUCAGUUCAGAGGAAGCUGGGAGACGAAGGAGAAGCUCCCCAAAGGCCACCGGGCUGAAAAGUGAAAGAAAAACACUCAGGUGUCUGAGGUUGGCCCUCCAUGGCAUGAGGUCAGGGGACUAGCCUAGCGCUGUCAUGUGUCCCCAGGUCCCGCACAGCAAGUACAGCCUGGAGGCCACUGGACAUGAGACAUUGAAAUAACACAGGUGGGAGCUGAGUAAGUCCACAUCCUGGAGCCUGUACAAGCUGCAGUGGGAGAGAGAAGAAAUUUUAUUUAUAUACCUGCACUCCUGGGGAGUUGCCAGUGUGGGGAAGGGGAUGAGACACUGGAGUCUGACAGAGAAUUCAGGAAAGAAGGGGGAUGAGUGACUAACUCCCCACACAGGCACAGGGGGUGGCCCAGGAUGCCAGCAUGCAGAUGGCAGCUGAGGGGACACAAGUGUCUGGAGAAGCAGUGGGAGGCAGCGACCCUCGGGAGAUUUAGGAUGCCAGUG